ACCCUCCCGGGCGGCCUCUGUGGACUCUGGAUGUUACGCUGCAUCGAUCGGGAUGUUGACAGAGGCCACCACAGGUGGGACCAUGGGAACGCUCUGUACCUUUCCCUCUGUUCUGCUGGGAGCCUGAAACUGCUUGUAAAAGUCUGAGCUGUUCCAGGAAGGGGCAGUGGAACCUUGAGACCCUCCUCUCCCACCCAGCUGGGCCACCUGUCUGCAGUCUCCAAGGACUGGGUUUAUCCAGGAACUUUGACCUUGUUCUCUGGUUUAUGGGACUGAAAAGGAAACAGCCUGGGAAAGGGGAAGUGACACAUCCAAGGUCACAGAACUGGAAGAGACUCUGCCUGGCUCCAGAGCCCUUUCUAGUAAUGUUGAUUCUGAAAGAAAAGAACCAAGAGCCUUC